rnacentral:rRNA from 1 species
UACGUGGGGUGCAAGCGUUGUUCGGAAUUACUGGGCGUAAAGCGCGUGUAGGCGGCCUGUUAAGUCUGACGUGAAAUCCCUGGGCUCAACCCAGGAACUGCAUCGGAAACUGACAGGCUAGAGUCCGGGAGAGGGUAGCGGAAUUCCUGGUGUAGAGGUGAAAUUCGUAGAUAUCAGGAGGAACACCGGUGGCGAAGGCGGCUACCUGGACCGGUACUGACGCUGAGACGCGAAAGCGUGGGGAGCAAACAGG